rnacentral:lncRNA from 1 species
AUUGUUGAAAAGUGCUGAAAGGUCCGCAUCACUUGUGACGCCCCUAAAAUAUGUAUACUUCACCCAUCUUGAGUUGCCAAAAACAUAGUACAAAAUUCAAAUACAAACUAAUAAUACAGCAGUCGUAUAAAAUAUGACAAAACAUAUGUUAUGAGUUUAAAUACAAAUAUUGUCUUCUAGACAAUAUCCACUCUCAGAAUAAGUCCUCAUUACAUUUAUUGUCACACUAUUUAACAGAAUAGUGAGGACCACUAGCUAAUACUAUCAUUCGGACCAUCACUCCAUUCCCCGACUCGUCCCAGCUACGUUCUCAUUUCC